GAGUUUGAUCCUGGCUCAGGAUGAACGCUGGCGGCGUGCCUAAUACAUGCAAGUCGAGCGAACAGACGAGGAGCUUGCUCCUCUGACGUUAGCGGCGGACGGGUGAGUAACACGUGGAUAACCUACCUAUAAGACUGGGAUAACUUCGGGAAACCGGAGCUAAUACCGAAUAAUAUAUUGAACCGCAUGGUUCAAUAGUGAAAAACGGUUUUGCUGUCACUUAUAGAUGGAUCCGCGCCGCAUUAGCUAGUUGGUAGGGUAACGGCUUACCAAGGCGACGAUGCGUAGCCGACCUGAGAGGGUGAUCGGCCACACUGGAACUGAGACACGGUCCAGACUCCUACGGGAGGCAGCAGUAGGGAAUCUUCCGCAAUGGGCAAAGCCUGACGGAGCAACGCCGCGUGAGUGAUGAAGGCCUUCGGAUCGUAAAACUCUGUUAUUA
rnacentral:rRNA from 1 species